CAUGGGCCCUCGAAACCGUGGCCUUUCCAUUUCAACCAAAAGCUUCUCUUGAUAAGAAAUAGCCUCAUUUCAGCUGUUUUGUUCAAUCCCUUCUGAGUCAGUAUGGAGUUCUGAGUAACUUCAGGAUGCAAAUGACCAUACCAGCUACAAGUGUAAAUCAUCAUCUUAUACCAUCCAACGGAAGAGAAUGCCUACAUCAGAAUUGCCAGGAGACAGUUUCUUGGCAAGUCAAAAUGAGUACACAGUGCA